AUGAACUUUACUUUUAUAGAAUAAUCAAUUGAAUUCUGACUUUGCAAAAUGCAUAUUUGCAUAACAAUAUUUUCAUCUGCCGAAGGGAAGCAUUUAUGUCUCUUAUACUUUUGGAGUAGUUGCACACACUGGCCAAUCUCUCUUCUUUAUGUUACCUCUCCACAUCCCCUAGGUAAUUGGUCAAGCCUUCUCUAUGUUUCAUCUUGAUCUGUAACUUUGAGGAAUCAUUUUUUCACCCGAUUGGAAAGAUUCAUCGUACUAUUUUCGAUGUAAAAACUAUAAGACUCAUCUACAAGAGUAGCAGAUUGAACUCGUGUUGUCUGCAGAAUCAUAACAGCCCACUGAAGAAUGCUGAAGAAAAAGAAGUGAACUUUGG
rnacentral:misc_RNA from 1 species